AUACCAUCUCUAAUAAAGAGGAUUGUAAUUGGCUUUGCACUGCACAGGUAGGAGUAGCAGUGGCAGAUUCGGCUGUAGUAGCAUGUGUAUAGAUGAGAUUAUUCAGGGGUGGAGUACAGUGAAUGCGCAUACAUCCACAGAUGUUUGAGGCGGGAAAUAGGGGGAGCUGGGUUUUAGAGUAACUCGGAUGCAAUUCCAUUUACACAAAUAAUUUUUAUCGAGAAUAAAUAAGGAAACCAGUUCUCCCGGUUCCCAGAAAAAUGGUAUCCAGGCUUGUGCCAUUUUCCACUUUGAAUAACAACACAACCGCGGUUUACGUUUUGUUCGGAUGGAUCCCGCUGUGCUCAUCUUCCUGCUGUAUAUAAUGAUUGCUCAUGAGAUGGUCUGCGGCUGGAUGCAGUACCAGAGGCAAGCCGCCAAACCCCGCAAACGCGUCAUACCAAUGUGGAGGGCCAGUGCUCGAGUUUGCCCUAGCAGCUGGCGAGUCAGCAGCCAGUCUUGCAGGGCAGAGAGAGGACGAGACUGGAGGAGAGCUGCUGGGAAGAGUGGACGGAUUGUCAGGAAGGCAUAAACUGGAAAAAGUAACUGUUCAGCAGAACUUCAGACAAUUCCAUAAAUCCAAAAUGGAUUGAUGGAAUGAAAGGCCUCUUCCUUCAACAGUUACAUUUUUAUUGAUCUUGGUCUGCUCCAUGAACUGUUUGCUGUGAUUGGGCAGCACAUGGGCACUGGGAGUUGCUCAGUUAUCAAGUCUAAACCCCUCAGAACAUUAUCAUACAAUAUGAUGACAAGUGGGAAGACUGUACUUUUUAUGUAUUUAUUGGUUCAUUUAUAUUUUACAGUCACAUUAUAUCAUUUCAAACGUGUAUUUGACAUUUUAUAAUGUUUUAUGUUGAUCAAUGACAACAUGCACUCUACAUCUGAUAUUUGGUAGAUACAAGUUGAUUUGUCUCCAUGAUGUUCAGAAACUGAGCUACAGCCUACUAAAGUCCAGGAGUCAAAUACAUUUGACUUAGUUUGAAAUGUAAUUCGAU
ensembl:lncRNA